UGGGGAAUUUUGGACAAUGGGCGAAAGCCUGAUCCAGCAAUGCCGCGUGUGUGAAGAAGGCCUUCGGGUUGUAAAGCACUUUUGUCCGGAAAGAAAUCCUUGGCUCUAAUACAGUCGGGGGAUGACGGUACCGGAAGAAUAAGCACCGGCUAACUACGUGCCAGCAGCCGCGGUAAUACGUAGGGUGCAAGCGUUAAUCGGAAUUACUGGGCGUAAAGCGUGCGCAGGCGGUUUGCUAAGACCGAUGUGAAAUCCCCGGGCUCAACCUGGGAACUGCAUUGGUGACUGGCAGGCUAGAGUAUGGCAGAGGGGGGUAGAAUUCCACGUGUAGCAGUGAAAUGCGUAGAGAUGUGGAGGAAUACCGAUGGCGAAGGCAGCCCCCUGGGCCAAUACUGACGCUCAUGCACGAAAGCGUGGGGAGCAAACAGGAUUAGAUACCCGUGGUCACGCCCUAAACGAUGUCAACUAGUUGUUGGGGAUUCAUUUCCUUAGUAACGUAGCUAACGCGUGAAGUUGACCGCCUGGGGAGUACGGUCG
rnacentral:rRNA from 1 species